AUAUCUCUCCGUACGGGAAGGAUGAGAAGCUUCGACCAAGGUUCGAUUCGAGCGCAGCGAGAAAGCGUUGCCGCAGGCAACGACCCGAAGGGCGAAGCGCGCAGCGCUGAGUAAUCCUUCCCCCACCACCA
rnacentral:sRNA from 1 species